rnacentral:rRNA from 2 species
UACGGGGGGGGCAAGCGUUGUUCGGAAUUACUGGGCGUAAAGGGUUCGUAGGUGGCUCGCUAAGUCAGACGUGAAAUCCCUCAGCUUAACUGGGGAACUGCGUCUGAUACUGAUGAGCUUGAGUGCAGGAGAGGAACGCGGAAUUCCAGGUGUAGCGGUGAAAUGCGUAGAUAUCUGGAGGAACACCGGUGGCGAAGGCGGCGUUCUGGACUGUAACUGACACUGAACAACGAAAGCCAGGGGAGCAAACGGG